GAUGAACGCUGGCGGCGUGCUUAACACAUGCAAGUCGAGCGAGAAGUUUUGAACAGAUUCUUCGGAUGAAAUUUAAAAUGGAAAGCGGCGGACGGGUGAGUAACGCGUAGGCAACCUGCCCCAUACAAAGGGAUAGCAUUUGGAAACGAAUAUUAAUACCUUAUGAAACUUAACUAGUGCAUGCUAGGUAGGUCAAAGAUUUAUCGGUAUGGGAUGGGCCUGCGUCUGAUUAGCUAGUUGGUGAGGUAACGGCUCACCAAGGCGACGAUCAGUAGCCGACCUGAGAGGGUGAAUGGCCACAUUGGAACUGAGGCACGGUCCAAACUCCUACGGGAGGCAGCAGUGGGGAAUAUUGCACAAUGGGGGAAACCCUGAUGCAGCAACGCCGCGUGAACGAUGAAGGCCUUUGGGUCGUAAAGUUCUGUUCUAGGUGAUGAAAACUGACAGUAACCGAGGAGAAAGCCCCGGCUAACUCCGUG
rnacentral:rRNA from 1 species